AUGUACCCACGUACAGUCCGGUUCCUCCGCGCCGUCCGCACCCACCUGACGACUGCUCGCUACGUUUUGUUAGCC
rnacentral:sRNA from 1 species